rnacentral:lncRNA from 1 species
GGUCUUUUCUAUAAAGCCACUAUGAGCAGGACAAGAAAACCUCAUGGUUCUUUAGAUUCCUGGAAAAUACAGAGAAGGAAGUACCAUAUAUCACAAGAUUCAUUAUAUCUGUUUUGUAAACUAAAAUGAAUGAACUCUUUUUGUACUAUUGCAUUAAGAGCAGACUGAUAAAAUUAAAUUUCAGUCACACUUAAUAGUCAUACCUAAAGUGUAUAGUCAGCCGGCAAAUACCAGUGACAUGGAUAGUUUGAAUUGAUGGUUAAUCCAAAAAUUAAUUUUGUUUGGUUAAGACAAAAUAUGAACACCUAUAUUUAUAUUUAACACAUAUUACAAUUCUUCCAACUUUAACUGUGUAGUAUACCAACUUGUCUGAGUGUCCUGCUCUCCUUUCCAGCUAGAAAACUGGCCACCGCUAAGACCGAGAGGACCCAGUCUCAACAAAGA